AUGUACAGGCCGCUUCUGACCUAUUAUUUGCUUUCUGUUGAAUUUCUGUUUUAGGCGGGACAGUCCCACUGCAGGCAUUCUGCACUUUCCCACAUGACACCGUCUGUGGCCUUUCUUCGCGGCUUCAGGGUUUGGCUUUCUCCCUCUCCUUUGUUCACAGAGCAUUUGUUGAGUGACGCCCAUACUUGCCACCGACGUUACGUGACUGUCGUCUUCUGAUCUGAGGACUCAGAGGUUGUUGGCGGGGAGACUUGUCAUGUGCACUUGCCCCUGUUGCUAAGUUCACAUCAGGCACCGGCCUCACACUGAUAUUUUGUGCACAUGACACGGGUCUGUUACUCCUCGUGGAGGAGAGCUAAUUAAGAUAGGGUGGUCAGCUGAGAGAACCUUCCUCUGAUUGGUCACCGCCCACAGUUGCCGGGGGAUACACAUGGCGGAAUUCCAGGGGGCGCCGUUCACACAGACAAGCUGCACUGGGAAUUGGGCCCUCUGGGGCUGUGCCUGACAGUGGCUGGGCUCUCCCCGAGAAGUUGCUACAUCCGUUGCCAGUUUUCUGCAACCAGAGUUCACCUACGGGCAUGAGUUGGCAGCCAUGGGUGUUACCUCUGUCCUAGAGCAACUGGCCAGCCUCCUUCUCUCAGUGUUACCAACGUGGAAAUAUGUGCAUUCUAUGCCUGUCGACCUUGUGGCUCCUGCGCUUGGAGCCAGGAAUGCUGUGCUGGUGAGGAUCCCUUUUCAUCCGCUAGGUGGCAGCAGCGUUCUUUCUGGCUCACGGGGAAAUAGCUCUGGGGCACAGCACCUCUCUACUAAAGGUAGAGGCUGCACGUUUUUAUAGUCAAAUUUCAUUUACUGCUGUUUUUGAGGCUGUUUGACUUAGUCUAGUAUUUACUAAUGAGAUUU
rnacentral:lncRNA from 1 species